rnacentral:rRNA from 1 species
GAUGAACGCUGGCGGCGUGCCUAAUACAUGCAAGUAGAACGCUGAAGGAGGAGCUUGCUCUUCUGGAUGAGUUGCGAACGGGUGAGUAACGCGUAGGUAACCUGCCUGGUAGCGGGGGAUAACUAUUGGAAACGAUAGCUAAUACCGCAUGACAACAGUUAUUGCAUGAUAACUGUUUAAAAGGGGCAACUGCUCCACUACCAGAUGGACCUGCGUUGUAUUAGCUAGUUGGUGAGGUAACGGCUCACCAAGGCGACGAUACAUAGCCGACCGGAGAGGGUGAUCGACAACACUCAGAGUGAUGCACAGCACAGACUCCGCCAGGAAGCAGCAGUAGGGAGGCUUGGGAGAUGGACAGAAGACUGACCGAGCAACGCGGCGUGAGUGAAGAAGGUUUUCGGAUCGUAAAGCUCUGUUGUCAGCGAAGUCCGAGUGUGAGAGUGGAAAUUUCACGCUGUGACGGUCACUUAUCAGAAAGGGACGGCUAUCUAGGUG